rnacentral:rRNA from 1 species
UGGGGAAUUUUGGACAAUGGGGGAAACCCUGAUCCAGCCAUCCCGCGUGUGCGAUGAAGGCCUUCGGGUUGUAAAGCACUUUUGGCAGGAAAGAAACGUCGCGGGUUAAUACCCCGCGAAACUGACGGUACCUGCAGAAUAAGCACCGGCUAACUACGUGCCAGCAGCCGCGGUAAUACGUAGGGUGCAAGCGUUAAUCGGAAUUACUGGGCGUAAAGCGUGCGCAGGCGGUUCGGAAAGAAAGAUGUGAAAUCCCAGAGCUUAACUUUGGAACUGCCUUUUUAACUACCGGGCUAGAGUGUGUCAGAGGGAGGUGGAAUUCCGCGUGUAGCAGUGAAAUGCGUAGAUAUGCGGAGGAACACCGAUGGCGAAGGCAGCCUCCUGGGAUAACACUGACGCUCAUGCACGAAAGCGUGGGGAGCAAACAGGAUUAGAUACCCUGGUAGUCCACGCCCUAAACGAUGUCAACUAGCUGUUGGGGCCUUCGGGCCUUGGUAGCGCAGCUAACGCGUGAAGUUGACCGCCUGGGGAGUACGGUCGCAAGAUUAAAACUUAAAUGAAUUGACGGGGUCAUAGCUGUUUCCU